rnacentral:lncRNA from 1 species
UAUUAAAAAAUGGAGAAAGGAGAAACACAUAUAAAUUACAUAAACAAACGACAACUACUGUACAUCAGAUUCCUGACUUAGGAUAGGUGCAAACAUUUGCAGCGGGAUUAAACGUUUUAAUGGUACGAAACCUUUUCCUUUUUUCUGAAACAAUAGCAUUACAUCACAAAAUAGAAAAACACACGGUAAAAUAUCAAUUGACAGGCUUAACUCAAUCAAAAAACGUAAAUUAAUAAACUAUGUGCGAAUAAAUUUGAUCUGCGAUAUCUGAAUGCAAAUGCACAGUUAAUAAAAUAUUAAGGACAAACAUUCAAGGCCAAAAAGCAAACAAACUAGUCCAAACAAAGCCAUGGCAAA